GGCGCAGGCAUGGCCAAACUUGGCCCUCCAGAUGUUUUAUGACUAUAACUCCCAUUAUCCCUAGCUAACAGGACCAGUGGUCAGGGAUGAUGGGAGUUGUAGUUCCAAAACAUCUGGAGGGCCAUGUUUGGCCAUGCCUGCUGU